GGGUGCGAUCAUACCAGCACUAAUGCACCGGAUCUCAUCAGAACUCUGCAGUUAAGCGUGCUUGGGCGAGAGUAGUACUAGGAUGGGUGACCUCUUGGGAUGUCCUCGUGUUGCACCCC
rnacentral:rRNA from 2 species